rnacentral:rRNA from 1 species
UACGAGAGGCCCAAACGUUUAUUCGGAUUUACUGGGCUUAAAGAGUUCGUAGGCGGCGCAGAAAGUAGGGUGUGAAAGCCCUCGGCUCAACCGAGGAAUUGCGCCCUAAACUACUGUGCUUGAGGAAGCUAGAGGUGAGCAGAACAGAUGGUGGAGCGGUGAAAUGCGUUGAUAUCAUCUGGAAUACCGGAGGCGAAGGCGGCUCACUGG